rnacentral:rRNA from 1 species
AGCAGCCGCGGUAAUUCCAGCUCCAAUAGCGUAUAUUAAAGUUGUUGCAGUUAAAAGCUCGUAGUUGAACUUCGGGAUUUAUUCAUUGGUCAGGCUUAAUUGUUUGUACUGGUGAGAUAAAUCUCUACCUUCUGAGGAACUUUUAUGCCAUUUAUUUGGUGUGAUUGGAAAUCAGGACUAUUACUUUGAAAAAUUGAGGGUUUAAAGCAGGCUAACGUCUGAAUACAUUAGCAUGGAAUAAUGAAAUAGGACGGACUGGCUCUAUUUGUUGGUUUCUAGGAUCACCGUAAUGAUUAAUAGGGAUAGUUGGGGGCAUUAGUAUUCAAUUGUCAGAGGUGAAAUUCUGGAUUUAUUGAAGACUAACUACUGCGAAAGCAUUUGCCAAGGAUGUUUCAUUAAUCAAGAACGAAAGUUAGGGAU